GUACUUACCUGGCAGGGGACAUACCAUGAUCACAAAAGUGGUUUUCCUGGGGCAAGGCUUAUCUAUUGCACUCUGAAAUGUGUUGACCCCUGCAAUUACCCCAAAUGUGGAAAACUGUAUAAUUUGUGGUGGGGGAUUGUGUUCUUUCUCUCUUCCCUA
ensembl:snRNA U1 U1 spliceosomal RNA